rnacentral:lncRNA from 1 species
AUGUUUACACUGCCGUUAACAACCAGCAGUAGUCUUUCAUUAACUAAGUUGUUCUUUUGCCACCAGUCAUUCAUGCCAAUCGCCGAAAGAUUAAGGACUUCCGGUCUGUGGAGUGGCUCCAGGCUGCUCAGGCCUCGCGUGGUGCCUGCACACAGGCCGAGGCUCCACAGCCCAGCGGGCAUCCCGUGUUUGAUCACAGCUCCGCUCGGCUCUUCACCUUCCGCGUGUGCUCCGCACUCUCAUUUCACCGGAAGAGGCGGAAUAUCCCCCACCUCCCGCUCCCCACGGCGAUGAGAGUCACAGAGACGUCAAGGCGUCCCAAAGUGUGCCAGACUUCGCUUGGACUUCGUUUCACCUUUUCCCAUAGAAAAGAGUUUCUUUACGUGAUGUUUUUUGUUUUUUUCUUUUUUUUGUGAAACCCACCAAGCCUAGGCUUCCCCAACUCCCAACAUUUGAACGACAACCUGACAUCUAGGGUAGCUGCUUUCGUAGGAACACCCAGCAAGUGUCCGUAAUCCCUCCUCCCACACACUAGAAGCUUCCGUGGUUCUCUCAUAUUUUUUCACAUUAAGAUUCAUUUUAUUCAACGCGUGCUGGCCGGACACCCAGCACAGCAGUUUUAAGAGUGUGGUCCCUGGGAGUCCCUGCGAUGUUUCCCAGAGCCCACAGGAGCAAAUCUACACUCAUGCUAAUACCGGGCUUCAUUUGUUUUCCUCACUCUCAUCUUCUCUGGAGCACAUGGGGCUGUGUUGCAGAGGCCACGGGAUGGGUGUUGAUGGGGGUGGAGUACAGAAACAGUUAUGGGAAUCUAGCUCAUGGAUAUUAAGCCAGAUGCCAAAGAGACUGACAAAAAUGUGAACCAUGCUACGCUUAUCCUUCAUUUAAGUCAAGUCAGUCUCUUUACUAUAGUCCUUUAUAUCAGAGAAUAAGUUAUUUUUCCCUAAAAUGCUAUCAAGUUUGACAUGGAAUAUGCAUUUAUUGUUGUUUUAAAUAAAUUAAAAACAUAUUUUAGGGGCCGGCA